rnacentral:rRNA from 24 species
UGACUGCGGAGGAUCAUUA